GACGAACGCUGGCGGCGUGCCUAAUACAUGCAAGUCGAACGAACUCUGGUAUUGAUUGGUGCUUGCAUCAUGAUUUACAUUUGAGUGAGUGGCGAACUGGUGAGUAACACGUGGGAAACCUGCCCAGAAGCGGGGGAUAACACCUGGAAACAGAUGCUAAUACCGCAUAACAACUUGGACCGCAUGGUCCGAGUUUGAAAGAUGGCUUCGGCUAUCACUUUUGGAUGGUCCCGCGGCGUAUUAGCUAGAUGGUGAGGUAACGGCUCACCAUGGCAAUGAUACGUAGCCGACCUGAGAGGGUAAUCGGCCACAUUGGGACUGAGACACGGCCCAAACUCCUACGGGAGGCAGCAGUAGGGAAUCUUCCACAAUGGACGAAAGUCUGAUGGAGCAACGCCGCGUGAGUGAAGAAGGGUUUCGGCUCGUAAAACUCUGUUGUUAAAGAAGAACAUAUCUGAGAGUAACUGUUCAGGUAUUGACGGUAUUUAACCAGAAAGCCACGGCUAACUACGUGCCAGCAGCCGCGGUAAUACGUAGGUGGCAAGCGUUGUCCGGAUUUAUUGGGCGUAAAGCGAGCGCAGGCGGUUUUUUAAGUCUGAUGUGAAAGCCUUCGGCUCAACCGAAGAAGUGCAUCGGAAACUGGGAAACUUGAGUGCAGAAGAGGACAGUGGAACUCCAUGUGUAGCGGUGAAAUGCGUAGAUAUAUGGAAGAACACCAGUGGCGAAGGCGGCUGUCUGGUCUGUAACUGACGCUGAGGCUCGAAAGUAUGGGUAGCAAACAGGAUUAGAUACCCUGGUAGUCCAUACCGUAAACGAUGAAUGCUAAGUGUUGGAGGGUUUCCGCCCUUCAGUGCUGCAGCUAACGCAUUAAGCAUUCCGCCUGGGGAGUACGGCCGCAAGGCUGAAACUCAAAGGAAUUGACGGGGGCCCGCACAAGCGGUGGAGCAUGUGGUUUAAUUCGAAGCUACGCGAAGAACCUUACCAGGUCUUGACAUACUAUGCAAAUCUAAGAGAUUAGACGUUCCCUUCGGGGACAUGGAUACAGGUGGUGCAUGGUUGUCGUCAGCUCGUGUCGUGAGAUGUUGGGUUAAGUCCCGCAACGAGCGCAACCCUUAUUAUCAGUUGCCAGCAUUAAGUUGGGCACUCUGGUGAGACUGCCGGUGACAAACCGGAGGAAGGUGGGGAUGACGUCAAAUCAUCAUGCCCCUUAUGACCUGGGCUACACACGUGCUACAAUGGAUGGUACAACGAGUUGCGAACUCGCGAGAGUAAGCUAAUCUCUUAAAGCCAUUCUCAGUUCGGAUUGUAGGCUGCAACUCGCCUACAUGAAGUCGGAAUCGCUAGUAAUCGCGGAUCAGCAUGCCGCGGUGGAAUACGUUCCCGGGCCUUGUACACACCGCCCGUCACACCAUGAGAGUUUGUAACACCCAAAGUCGGUGGGGUAACCUUUUAGGAACCAGCCGCCUAAGGUGGGACAGAUGAUUAGGGUG
rnacentral:rRNA from 1 species